CCUCUGCUGCCAGUGAGUGGGCAGACAUUGUGAGGGAUCAGUUUACAUACUAUAUACAAGAAAGAAUCCUUCAUCAUGCUAUACAGUCGACAUAUGUCAAGUCACCAACAGUUACGCGUCCUCGUGGAACAACUGCAGCGAGAAGCUAAUAUAGACCGCAUGAAAACCUCGGAAGCAAUCAACCAUCUCAAGAGGUACAUCUCGGAACACGAGGCAGAGGACUACCUUCUGGUCGGCUUCACCUCUCAGAAGGCCAACCCAUUCCGUGAGAAGAGCUCCUGCACCGUCCUGUAAUGUGUAAGCACCUAGACUUGCUACCCAAAACUCACCCAUCUUUAUACAUAAUAU